rnacentral:rRNA from 1 species
UUUGAAAUCUGGCCCCCAGGGCCCGAGUUGUAAUUUGCAGAGGAUGCUUUUGGCGAGGUGCCUUCCGAGUUCCCUGGAACGGGACGCCGCAGAGGGUGAGAGCCCCGUCUGGUCGGCCACCGAGCCUCUGUAAAGCUCCUUCGACGAGUCGAGUAGUUUGGGAAUGCUGCUCAAAAUGGGAGGUAUAUGUCUUCUAAAGCUAAAUACUGGCCAGAGACCGAUAGCGCACAAGUAGAGUGAUCGAAAGAUGAAAAGCACUUUGAAAAGAGGGUUAAACAGUACGUGAAAUUGUUGAAAGGGAAGCGCCCAUGACCAGACCUGGGCCCGGUGAAUCAUCCGGCGUUCUCGCCGGUGCACUUUGCCGGGCCCAGGCCAGCAUCAGCCUGGCGCGGGGGGGAAAGGCUGUGGGAACGUGGCUCCCCCGGGAGUGUUAUAGCCCACCGCGCAAUACCCUGCGCCGGACUGAGGUACGCGCGUUCGCAAGGAUGCUGGCGUAAUGGUCAUCAGCGACCCGUCUUGAAACACGGACCAAGGAGUCGUCUUCGUAUGCGAGUGUUCGGGUGUCAAACCCCUACGCGUAAUGAAAGUGAACGCAGGUGAGAGCUUCGGCGCAUCAUCGACCGAUCCUGAUGUUCUCGGAUGGAUUUGAGUAGGAGCAUACGGGGCCGGACCCGAAAGAAGGUGAACUAUGCCUGUGUAGGGUGAAGCCAGAGGAAACUCUGGUGGAGGCUCGCAGCGGUUCUGACGUGCGAAUCGAUCGUCAAACAUGGGCAUGGGGGCGAAAGACUAAUCGAACCUUCUAGUAGCUGGUUUC